CUACGGGGUGCACCAGCUACGAAACCUUUACAAUGCACGCAAGUGUGAUAAGGGGAUUCCGAGUGCUCAUGCAAUGCAUGGGCUUUUGCCAAGAGUAAAUAUCUUGGCGAAUAAGUGGUGGGCAAGACUGGUGCCAGCCGCCGCGGUAACACCAGCGCCACGAGUGGGAACCACAAUUAUUUGGCCUAAAGCGUCCGUAGCCGGUUUGCUAAAUUUCCUGUGAAAUCGUACCUCUUAACGGGACGGCGUGCAGGAAAGACUGGCAGACUUGGAACCAGUAGAGGUCAGGAGUAUUCCCGGUGUAGCGGUAAAAUGUUAUAAUCCCGGGAGGACUACCAAUGGCGAAGGCACCUGACCAGGAUGGAUUCGACGGUGAGGGUCGAAAGCUGGGGGAGCGAUCCGGAUUAGAUACCCCGGUAGUC
rnacentral:rRNA from 1 species